rnacentral:tRNA from 1 species
UCCUGGGUAGCUCAGCGGCAGAGCGGAUGGCUGUUAACCAUUAGGUCGUGGGUUCGAUCCCCACCCCAGGAG